GUAUAGAAAGCGAGAAUUUUGCAUCUGGCUUCGGACUAGACUUUGGGGGUGAGAGUCCCUUUCUAUAUU
rnacentral:tRNA from 6 species